rnacentral:rRNA from 1 species
UGUAAGCGUAUACCAAAGUUGUUGCAGUUAAAACGCUCGUAGUCGGAAUUUGGCAGUUCCGGAUGUGUGCACGUCGUGUGCGCACUUCGCGGGGAUUGCUUUUGUGAUCUUGCGUAGGAUGAGGCACUUUUAUUAGUGAACGUCCUCACGCAACCACUUUUUACUGUGAGAAAAUCAGAGUGCUCAAAGCAGGCAUUUGCCGUGAAUGUAUUAGCAUGGAAUAAUAGAAUAGGACUUGGUUCUAUUUUGUUGGUUUGUUGGGACUGAGUAAUGAUUAAGAGGGACAGUUGGGGGCAUUUGUAUUUCGGUGCUAGAGGUGAAAUUCUUAGAUUACCGAAAGACAAACUGCUGCGAAAGCGUCUGCCAAGGAUGUUUUCAUUGA